rnacentral:rRNA from 1 species
GAUGAACGCUGGCGGCGUGCCUAAUACAUGCAAGUCGAGCGAACAGAUGAGGAGCUUGCUCCUCUGACGUUAGCGGCGGACGGGUGAGUAACACGUGGAUAACCUACCUAUAAGACUGGGAUAACUUCGGGAAACCGGAGCUAAUACCGGAUAAUAUAUUGAACCGCAUGGUUCAAUAGUGAAAGACGGUUUUGCUGUCACUUAUAGAUGGAUCCGCGCCGCAUUAGCUAGUUGGUAAGGUAACGGCUUACCAAGGCAACGAUGCGUAGCCGACCUGAGAGGGUGAUCGGCCACACUGGAACUGAGACCCGGUCCAGACUCCUACGGGAGGCAGCAGUAGGGAAUCUUCCGCAAUGGGCGAAAGCCUGACGGAGCAACGCCGCGUGAGUGAUGAAGGUCUUCGGAUCGUAAAACUCUGUUAUUAGGGGAGAACAAAUGUGUAAGUAACUAUGCACGUCUUGACGGUACCUAAUCAGAAAGCCACGGCUAACUACGUG